rfam:Ovis aries breed Texel chromosome 1, whole genome shotgun sequence.
UCCUCUUUAGUAUAGUGGUGAGUAUCCCCACCUGUCAGGUGGGAGACCAGGGUUCGAUUCCCUGAUGGGGAG